GACGAGCCGUCCAAGCGUUAUUCGGAAUCACUGGGCUUACAGAGUUCGUAGGCGGUCUGGAAAGUUGGGUGUGAAAUCCCUCGGCUCAACCGAGGAACUGCGCUUGAAACUACCAGACUCGAGGGAGAUAGAGGAAAGCGGAACUGAUGGUGGAGCGGUGAAAUGCGUUGAUAUCAUCAGGAACACCGGUGGCGAAGGCGGCUUUCUGGGUCUUACCUGACGCUGAGGAACGAAAGCCAGGGGAGCGAACGGG
rnacentral:rRNA from 1 species